AUUGAACGCUGGCGGCAUGCUUUACACAUGCAAGUCGAACGGUAACAGGUUAAGCUGACGAGUGGCGAACGGGUGAGUAAUGCAUCGGAACGUGCCCGAUCGUGGGGGAUAACGCAGCGAAAGCUGCGCUAAUACCGCAUACGAUCUGAGGAUGAAAGCGGGGGACCGUAAGGCCUCGCGCGAUCGGAGCGGCCGAUGUCAGAUUAGGUAGUUGGUGGGGUAAAGGCCUACCAAGCCGACGAUCUGUAGCUGGUCUGAGAGGACGACCAGCCACACUGGGACUGAGACACGGCCCAGACUCCGACGGGAGGCAGCAGUGGGGAAUUUUGGACAAUGGGCGCGAGCCUGAUCCAUCAAUGCCGCGUGCAGGAAGAAGGCCUUCGGGUUGUAAACUGCUUUUGUACGGAGCGAAAAGGCUCUCUCUAAUACAGGGGGCUCAUGACGGUACCGUAAGAAUAAGCACCGGCUAACUACGUGCCAGCAGCCGCCGUAA
rnacentral:rRNA from 1 species